GGAAGGGCCAUAGCUCAGUGGUAGAGCAUCUGUCUUGCAUGCAGGAAGUCCCAGGUUCAAAUCCCAUCAUCUCGGGGAUUUCCG